rnacentral:rRNA from 1 species
UACGUAGGUCCCGAGCGUUGUCCGGAUUUAUUGGGCGUAAAGCGAGCGCAGGUGGUUUAUUAAGUCUGGUGUAAAAGGCAAUGGCUCAACCAUUGUAUGCAUUGGAAACUGGUAGACUUGAGUGCAGGAGAGGAGAGUGGAAUUCCAUGUGUAGCGGUGAAAUACGUAGAUAUAUGGAGGAACACCGGUGGCGAAAGCGGCUCUCUGGCCUGUAACUGACACUGAGGCUCGAAAGCGUGGGGAGCAAACAGG